rnacentral:rRNA from 1 species
UACGUAGGGUGCAAGCGUUGUCCGGAAUUAUUGGGCGUAAAGAGCUCGUAGGCGGUUUGUCGCGUCUGCUGUGAAAACUCGGGGCUCAACUCCGAGCUUGCAGUGGGUACGGGCAGACUAGAGUGCGGUAGGGGAGACUGGAAUUCCUGGUGUAGCGGUGGAAUGCGCAGAUAUCAGGAGGAACACCGAUGGCGAAGGCAGGUCUCUGGGCCGAUACUGACGCUGAGGAGCGAAAGCGUGGGGAGCGAACAGG